UGUCAGCCAGGAUGGUGGCCAGAUCUCUCUUCACAGGCUUGCAGUGACGGUCACCAUGGACACCACUGUCAGUCUGAGUGUGGCCAAUGUAAAGGAAACCUGCCUUGUAACAAGAUCAAUGGAACAUGUCAACAAGGAUGUCAGCCAGGGUUUCAAGAACCCUUUUGUAAAGAAUGUGUUGAUGGUAUGUACGGGGAUGACUGCAUGUCACGAUGUGGUCAGUGUAAAGACGCCCUAACCAAUGAUAAAUCCAGCGGGGAAUGUCCCGAAGGAUGUCAGGGUAACUUCAUGAAGCCCCUAUGUCAAGAGUGUCCAGCAACAUCAGGAUACUCAA